UGGACGAACGCUGGGCGGCGUGCUUAACACAUGCAAGUCGAACGGUGACGAGGAGCUUGCUCCUCUGAUCAGUGGCGAACGGGUGAGUAACACGUGAGCAACCUGCCCCAGACUCUGGGAUAACAGUUGGAAACAGCUGCUAAUACCGGAUACGAGACGGAGAGGCAUCUCUACCGUCUGGAAAGUUUUUCGGUCUGGGAUGGACUCGCGGCCUGUCAGCUAGUUGGUGAGGUAAUGGCUCACCAAGGCGACGACGGGUAGCCGGCCUGAGAGGGCGACCGGCCACACUGGGACUGAGACACGGCCCAGACUCCUACGGGAGGCAGCAGUGGGGAAUAUUAGGCAAUGGGGGAAACCCUGACCUAGCGACGCCGCGUGAAGGAUGAAGGUCUUCGGAUUGUAAACUUCUUUGACGAGGGAAGAUAGUGACGGUACCUCGAAAACAAGCCACGGCUAACUACGUG
rnacentral:rRNA from 1 species